UUUACCCUGGAGUGUGCGUCAGCGGGUUGACGUCCCUGAGCCGAUAAGCAAUACCCAAGGGUUAGUACUUGAUAACUAUUGAGCAGGCUCGGCCCGUACCGAGAAGCCUACGGUUAACAUUGCUGAUCCGCCUUAAACCAGCUGGUUUAAGGGCCCCCUUCCCCAACGGCACUCUGGGGUAUCC
rnacentral:other from 1 species